AGAGUUUGUGUUUCACGUCAAGCAAAGAAAAGAGUCAGCUUCAAGCCACCAAAAAGGUGUUUGGCUUGAAGAAGAUGAAGACGGCCAACCUCUCCCAAAAAGACGUAGGACUGGGGAGAAACGGAAACGGGGACCCGCCACUGUGACGUCUGGGAGCGCAGAACCUUCCUGUUCGUCGACAUAUGGACAAAAGGCAGAGACAGAGACCAGCCAAAACUUAGACUCCCUUAUCCAAGAAGUUCAAGACCUCUUGGAAUGUCCUGUUGAAGAACCUGUCUCAUCCCAGUGGAAGGAAAGGCAACGUUUAACCUUUGAAAAGUGGAGUACGUUAAGGCCCUUUAUGGUUAACCAGAUGUUAUCAUCACAGAGGCCUAAACAGGGACUAUGCCAACACUGUGGACAAAAGCUUGCAGUAGUGACAUGCAGAGAUUGUUUGCCAAGACCACUUUACUGCACUGCGUGUGAUAUUGCAAUACAUGAGUCUAUG